GAUUUAGUUGUUUACUUUUGAUGAUUUUAUUUUGUUUUUUUUUUGGAUAAACUUCAAAUAUCAUCCCCAUAGUUUCUCACUUUUUCACUUUAGUAUCAUAUGAUUUAAAGUGUAUCAAAUUAGUGUCCUCUGAUUUCUUUUUUUUUUUUGUCAGCUUUUCCGUUAAUAUUUCGUUAAAUUAUAUACAAAAAAUUUUAGAUACCCCAUUUAGGUUUAUCGAAUAUUCACUUUAGUACCUUUUAGUUUUAACUUUGUUACUUAUUUAACGAAAAUAAUUAGUAAAAUCGAUAAUAAAAAAUAAAAAUAAAAUUACAUGACACUAAAUGAGAAAAUGUGAAACUGUGGGGUGAUAUUUGAAGUUUUUUUUCAUUUCUUAAACUUUGUUGUUAUUGAAAAAGU
rnacentral:lncRNA from 1 species